rnacentral:sRNA from 2 species
UUUAUGGUUUUCUAUGGUUCCCGUAGUUUGUACUAGCUGGUUCGAGAGAAAACACACAAGUAUAUUUGUGGACACGGAAAGAUAAAAGCUUGGGAGAU